GGCAAUCAUACAGGUAAACCCACUGAGGGUUCUCUGCAGGGUCCUAGUACAUCUAAUAAUGCUCUUGUGCUAACCUUUUUUGGGACAGUUUCUUGGUGUCCCCAAAAGCGGUACACCUGGGAACAAAGUCAGGACGAUGGGACAGGACCACAAACCAGGACAGUCCUGCCGAAAUCGGGAUGGUUGGAAGGCAUGGAUAUGUACAGGGCCUUUGAUAAAUCCUAGAUUAUUCAUUGUCCUCCUGUGUGUCCGAUGCCUAGUGAACCAGUACUUGGGGGGGUGGUCAAUGCUAACUAAACUGGAUAAAAACAGCACCUGCCUACCCAGACAGCAGGUGCCUACUCUUCCAAAAUAUUUCUUAUUCCUGGCAGUGAGGAAUGCAUGGAGUACUGUACUUACUGUACUCCCUCUGCACAGCAGCCCAGAUAUGACUUUGUCACGGCAUCACCACAGGGCGCACGUGGGAGCUGUGCAGGAAGAGCACAGUGAUCCCA